rnacentral:rRNA from 1 species
CCUACGGGCGGCAGCAGUGAGGAAUAUUGGUCAAUGGGCGAGAGCCUGAACCAGCCAAGUCGCGUGAGGGAGUACUGCCCUAUGGGUUGUAAACCUCUUUUGUCGGGGAGCAAAAGCCGGACGUGUCCGGCUGUGAGAGUACCCGAAGAAAAAGCAUCGGCUAACUCCGUGCCAGCAGCCGCGGUAAUACGGAGGAUGCGAGCGUUAUCCGGAUUUAUUGGGUUUAAAGGGUGCGCAGGCGGAUUGUUAAGUCAGCGGUAAAAUCGUGGGGCUCAACCCCAUCCAGCCGUUGAAACUGGGGAUCUAGAGUGUGCGAGAGGUAUGCGGAAUGCGUGGUGUAGCGGUGAAAUGCAUAGAUAUCACGCAGAACCCCGAUUGCGAAGGCAGCAUACCGGUGCACAACUGACGCUCAGGCACGAAAGCGUGGGUAUCGAACAGGAUUAGAUACCCUGGUAGUC